CUGAUGCUAAGGGCAUAAUUAAUGCACCUCCAAACACGUAUGUGCGGAAUUUUGCAGAUCUAUAGAAAAUCAGCAUAAUUUUUUUCACUGAAAGAACAAGCUAUGGGAAUAGGUUUUCAGAACUGGGUCACCAUUGGGCCCAUAGAACAAACUACCAAGGCAGAAUGAGAGAUGAACGCAAGUUCAAGUCCUGUUCUGAGCAGGUGUCACAUGGACCUAGUGACUCUGAUGUCGCCAGGGUUUCAAGAUUCAGGUCUAGGUAGGAGAAGUCCCUCUCUUCCUGUGGCCAGGCUGUGUCCUCCCUAGAGAGACCGCUCACCUCCUAACCAGGAGAUGCUCGUCAGAGCCGCUCUGAAGCCACUGCAGACAGCGCCUGCCUCGUUAGCCGCGAUUCCCUCAUGCUGAGAUAGCAUUUCUCUCUGACACCCGACACUGGUGAGGAUGAGGGGGAUGAGUCUCACGCCGAUUAAUCCUAUAAAGUACUUAUACCCCACCUGCCCUCUGGGCCUGUGGUGCUGGGGUGAGGAGGACGCCGCAUCUGGGCCCCUCGGGGAUGUCUGCUGAGGACAUUUAUCUGCUUAGGUGCCAGCCCUGGAUUAGCCCGGCUCCAGUCACCCUGGGCAGGAGCUGGAAGCUAUUUAAUGAGGUUUAGAGUCGAUACCCAGGUCACUUCGUAGACGCUCUGCCAGAAUCCAGGGCUGCUGUCACAGGUGGGCCACAGGCUGCUGUCACAGGGCGCGUGCUGAGUGCCGGGCACCGCUGUCCCUGCCCUGGCUCUGGCUUCCUGUUUUUCCCUUCGCUACUGAUGUGGGUGUUCUUACAGACCGUCAGGGUAAGGUCUCCCCACUUACACAUCCUCUCCUCGAUGGGGCUCUGUGGAUGAGGAUUCAGCUGACUCAGCAAGACAGAGAAACAAAAAAAAGAAAAGAGUUAGAUGCCGUUAUACCGAGCCAGAAGGACCUGACUAGAAGUCUUGAGCCUACCCAUGGAUGGUGUGUCCCCUAGCCCUGCUAGCACUCUGCUCUGCAAAUGAGCAGAAGUCUUGUCAUUAUCCUUAUUUUAAAGAACUACGAACUGGGAAACAUUUGCCGUGUUCCUGCUGCCAGACCCGGCAGUAUGUUUGACAGCUUACCUUCUCUGCAGGCUGCCUUCAAAGGCGGGGCAGGACAGGGCACACUUAGCAAAGAAGAAGAGCUGUGGGGGCUGACGGAGACCUGCAAUUGGGUCUAAGUGCCAGGUCCUGGCUUCCCUGUGGUCUGUUUAGUAGGCACGCACGUGUGCUCUGUCACUCGUCAGAGCAGUGCACCUGGCUUUGCACACUCGGUGCAUACCGUCCGUGAGCCAUGCACCCACAUGCUGACUAUGUGCUAGAGUCCCAACCGUGAGGCAGCUCACGGCCCGGCCCGUCUUGCUCUGCUGCAGCCAUGACAACAGUCUCCCCACCCUUAUAUCCAGUGCACGUCGAAGCCGCUGCCUCGUUAUGCCUGAGCAUCCAAGACACUGUGACUUCCAGAGAGGCAACGUGGAGAUCGGCCUUGGACCUGGAGGUGAGGAAUCCAAGAGAUAUCGAGGGUGAAGUGGGACGAGGGGCCACAGCUGUCCUGACUAAAGACAGCCGACCGUGCUCCCGAGUCCCGAUCGGCAGCUCCGGGCUCUGAGCACUUGGGCUGGCAGCCAGAGGC
rnacentral:lncRNA from 1 species